GGAAGGGAAGGGCGGAAGGCUGUGAGAACAGACGAGGCUCAAUUCCCCUUCUCUAUGAAAACUGAUGCCACCAUUGCUAAAUGACGGACAGACUGCAAGAUACAUAUUUCCUUCCUGCCUCCCUGUGGGCUAUCUGCGCUGAGAGGAGAGACUGAGGCUCAAAGAAGAGAAAUCACAAGCCCAAGGUCAUGCAACUGGCCCAGCAGAGCUGGAAUGUCCACCCUACAGCCUUGUUCAUGGCCAUUCUGCCUGCCGCAUCCUCCCAGCCACCCAGAGUAUUAGAAAGCGGAAGUUUUGAGCUGUGGAAACCCAAUUCCAAAUUUAGGGAACUGACUCAAGAUACCUCCAAGGAGUGCCCUCCAGUCCUGCAAGCUCAGGGAGCUCAUCUGAACCCUGAUCGGAGGAAGGGAGGACAGCAGUCUGCAGUCUCUGCAAACCCAGAGCUGGCCAGGGAAGACAGGCAGACAGUCACCAUAGCAACCCUGGGCAUCUGGCAGGGGGCAGCCUGGACCCCGCAGAAGCCACCCAGGUUUGGAGGAGGGCAGACUGGAGUUGCCAGCGGAGGGGCCAGGCCAGAAGCUGGUUCUGAAGGUAGACAGGCCUGAGGACAGAG